UACAGAGGGUGCAAGCGUUGUUCGGAAUUAUUGGGCGUAAAGCGCGUGUAGGCGGCUUUGCAAGUCGGGUGUGAAAGCCCUCGGCUCAACCGAGGAAGUGCAUCCGAAACUGCUGAGCUUGAGUACGAAAGAGGAUCGCGGAAUUCCCGGUGUAGAGGUGAAAUUCGUAGAUAUUGGGAAGAACACCAGCGGCGAAAGCGCGCUACUGGGCCAUUACUGACACUCAUGGACGAAAGCUAGGGGAGCGAAAGGG
rnacentral:rRNA from 1 species